UGGGGAAUAUUGGGCAAUGGGGGAAACCCUGACCCAGCAACGCCGCGUGAAGGAUGAAGUAUUUCGGUAUGUAAACUUCGAAAGAAUAGGAAGAAUAAAUGACGGUACUAUUUAUAAGGUCCGGCUAACUACGUGCCAGCAGCCGCGGUAAUACGUAGGGACCAAGCGUUGUUCGGAUUUACUGGGCGUAAAGGGCGCGUAGGCGGCAUGACAAGUCACUUGUGAAAUCUCUGGGCUUAACCCAGAACGGCCAAGUGAUACUGUCGCGCUAGAGUGCAGAAGGGGCAAUCGGAAUUCUUGGUGUAGCGGUGAAAUGCGUAGAUAUCAAGAGGAACACCUGAGGUGAAGACGGGUUGCUGGGCUGACACUGACGCUGAGGCGCGAAAGCCAGGGGAGCAAACGGGAUUAGAUACCCAUGUAGUCCCUGAGCGGGCUGGCAAGGCG
rnacentral:rRNA from 1 species